rnacentral:rRNA from 1 species
UACGUAGGGGGCAAGCGUUGUCCGGAAUUAUUGGGCGUAAAGCGCGCGUAGGCGGCUUCUUAAGUCUGAUGUGAAAGCCCACGGCUCAACCGUGGAGGGUCAUUGGAAACUGGGGAGCUUGAGUACAGAAGAGGAGAGUGGAAUUCCACGUGUAGCGGUGAAAUGCGUAGAUAUGUGGAGGAACACCAGUGGCGAAAGCGGCUCUCUGGUCUGUUACUGACGCUGAGGUGCGAAAGCGUGGGGAGCAAACAGG